rnacentral:rRNA from 1 species
CUAAGGCUGAUGGCGACCGGCGCACGGGUGAGUAACACGUAUCCAACCUGCCGAUGACUCGGGGAUAGCCUUUCGAAAGAAAGAUUAAUACCCGAUGGCAUAGUUCUUCCGCAUGGUGGAACUAUUAAAGAAUUUCGGUCAUCGAUGGGGAUGCGUUCCAUUAGGUUGUUGGCGGGGUAACGGCCCACCAAGCCUUCGAUGGAUAGGGGUUCUGAGAGGAAGGUCCCCCACAUUGGAACUGAGACACGGUCCAAACUCCUACGGGAGGCAGCAUG